CCUACGGGAGGCUGCAGUGAGGAAUAUUGGACAAUGGGCGAGAGCCUGAUCCAGCCAUGCCGCGUGCAGGAAGACUGCCCUAUGGGUUGUAAACUGCUUUUAUACGGGAAGAAACACCCCUUCGUGAAGGGAUUUGACGGUACCGUAUGAAUAAGGAUCGGCUAACUCCGUGCCAGCAGCCGCGGUAAUACGGAGGAUCCAAGCGUUAUCCGGAAUCAUUGGGUUUAAAGGGUCCGUAGGCGGGUUUGUAAGUCAGUGGUGAAAGUCUGCAGCUUAACUGUAGAACUGCCAUUGAUACUGCAUACCUUGAGUAAUUAGGAAGUGGUUAGAAUAUGUAGUGUAGCGGUGAAAUGCAUAGAUAUUACAUAGAAUACCGAUUGCGAAGGCAGAUCACUAAUAAUUUACUGACGCUGAUGGACGAAAGCGUAGGUAGCGAACAGGAUUAGAUACCCUAGUAGUC
rnacentral:rRNA from 1 species